UACGAAGGGGACUAGCGUUGCUCGGAAUCACUGGGCGUAAAGCGCACGUAGGCGGAUUCUUAAGUCAGGGGUGAAAUCCCGGAGCUCAACUCCGGAACUGCCUUUGAUACUGAGAGUCUCGAGUUCGGGAGAGGUGAGUGGAACUGCGAGUGUAGAGGUGAAAUUCGUAGAUAUUCGCAAGAACACCAGUGGCGAAGGCGGCUCACUGGCCCGAUACUGACGCUGAGGUGCGAAAGCGUGGGGAGCAAACAGG
rnacentral:rRNA from 1 species